GAUGAAGAACGCAGCGAAAUGCGAUAAGUAGUGUGAAUUGCAGAAUUCAGUGAAUCAUCGAAUCUUUGAACGCACAUUGCGCCCCUUGGUAUUCCAUGGGGCAUGCCUGUUCGAGCGUCAUUUGUACCUUCAAGCUCUGCUUGGUGUUGGGUGUUUGUCUCGCCUCUGCGCGUAGACUCGCCUCAAAACAAUUGGCAGCCGGCGUAUUGAUUUCGGAGCGCAGUACAUCUCGCGCUUUGCACUCAUAACGACGACGUCCAAAAGUACAUUUUUACACUCUUGACCUCGGAUCAGGUAGGGAUACCCGCUGAACUUAAGCAUAUCAAUAAGGA
rnacentral:misc_RNA from 1 species